CUCAUUUCUAUCUACAAUUUCAGUCCCACUGUUAGUAAGUUAGUAAGUGUCGAAGUCUUUUUCACGGGCAAAUCCUAUUUUCUCUUUGAGUCAAGUUCUUCACUGCUCAUCCUCGAUCUGUAAAUUCUCAUUCCAUCGUUCAUCAUUUAUGGUGAUAAAGCCAUCAAAGAGGAGUUCUACCGUCAUCGUGAAGCAUGGGGUAAGAAUAUAAGCAAUCCAUAUUAAACAUAGUACAUUUUUGAAGGGGAGGAGGAAAUCGUGUAGAGAGGCACAACAAAUCGCAACCUGGUUGGGGUUUAGGGUUCGAUUUGGUGCUUGCAAUCCCUAAAUCCUCUCUUUCGCAGACCAAGUCAUCGAAGUGGUAAUGAUGCUCAACUAUCCAAGGAAAGUGGCAGUGUUUUACUAACUUCUCUGUGCUUGUCUAUCAAAUUUAAGCAAAAAUAAUAAGAAACAUGGUCGGAGGCUUCUGGAAGGUUCCUCGUCGCCGCUUACGCCGAUUUGGAUGCGCCCAACCUCUACUAAGAGAAGAUGGCUCCAUGUCCUGUUCCUCGCCUUGAUGGAGCUCCCAUUCAGAUUCACAAUCUCCUCUUCGUCUUCGCCGGUUACGGCACCAUCGAUUAUGUGCAUUCUCACGUUGAUGUGUAGAAUUUUCAUGAUAAUACUUGGGGAGGGAGAUUCGACAUGCCGAAGGAGAUGGCGCAUUCACAUUUGGGAAUGGUGACCGAUGGUAGAUACAUUUGUGUCGUCACUGGACAGUAUGGCCUGCAGUGCAGAGGUCCCACUGCUCGUACGUUUGUGCUCGACUAUGAAACCAGGAAAUGGCUUCUAUGAGUUGUGACUUUUGAUGCUGUAACUAUUUGCUUUAUAUCAAAUAUGUUCUGGACUCACCUCAUAUGAAGAAGAUUUUUUACUACAUUCAACUUCCAAAUUUUGACAUAGUUGCAUAUGUUGGAGCUACUUUUAAGGAGCUCUUGAUGAGGCAUAAAUCUGCAUUUUUCGAAUUCCUUUCCGAGAAUUAUGAAUGAAGGCUCGGUGAAACAUUGGAUUUCAAAAUUAAGUGUCNNGCUGCAGGAAAAGANGGGAACUUGCGUGCUAUGCUUUCCACCUUACAAUAUGUAUAUACUUUCUACACACACCUUGGAAAAAUCUCUGAAUUUCUCUGUUCCUUAUCUAUAUGAACAUAUGUAAUCUCUGAAACUGAUGUUGUUCCAUCUGGAUAUGGUGAUGUUGUUGUAAAUGAGAGCAUUUAUGUUUAUUUAGAAUUACAAGGAACUAAUUCUGCAGAGACAGAACAAGGGAAGAUCAAGAAGAUAGAAGAGCUGAGGAAGCAAAUAGAAAGACUAGAGAAGAUUAUGAAUGCUCCAGGAUAUGAAGAGAAGGUUUUGCCAAAUGUUCGAGCAAAGAACCAGGAAAAGCUAGAUUCCCUAAUGCUUUGUUCCUUUGCACUGAUUUUACUGUGCACACCAAUUUGCGAGCGAGGAAACUUUCAAAUUUUGCGUUCGUUUGAACGGAUUGCACGCGGACGGAUUUGCGACGAUUGUGACUUAUAUGCAUUGUCUCACCAUCUCGCAAAAAUGAGAGGAUUUGCGAUGAUUUAAUCGAAAAAGACUCAUCUACCCCUCUGUAAUUGUCAAAAUUCCAAGUGAAUAAAAAAGCCAAAUCUAUUUUAACGUAAAAAAAAACAGAAUGGUGCAGGUAUCCGGAUACACUGUUGCUGUAUCCGGAUACAGUUUUGUUUAGAAAAUGGAAAAGAAGAGUAUUCGGAUACAUGGAGUGCGUAUCCGGAUCCAGGCUUUUAAAAAUAAUUUUUUUAAUAUUUUAAAAA